UACGUAGGGCGCAAGCGUUGUCCGGAAUUAUUGGGCGUAAAGAGCUCGUAGGCGGUCUGUCGCGUCUGCCGUGAAAACCCGAGGCUUAACCUCGGGCUUGCGGUGGAUACGGGCAGACUUGAGUUCGGUAGGGGAGACUGGAAUUCCUGGUGUAGCGGUGAAAUGCGCAGAUAUCAGGAGGAACACCGAUGGCGAAGGCAGGUCUCUGGGCCACUACUGACGCUGAGAAGCGAAAGCAUGGGGAGCGAACAGG
rnacentral:rRNA from 1 species